rnacentral:hammerhead_ribozyme from 1 species
AUCCAGCUGAAGAGCCCCAAAUAGGACGAAACACACGUUCUGGAU